rnacentral:rRNA from 1 species
UACGGAGGGUGCAAGCGUUAUCCGGAUUUACUGGGUUUAAAGGGUGCGUAGGUGGGCAGGUAAGUCAGUGGUGAAAUCUCCGAGCUUAACUCGGAAACUGCCAUUGAUACUAUCUGUCUUGAAUUAUCUGGAGGUGAGCGGAAUAUGUCAUGUAGCGGUGAAAUGCUUAGAUAUGACAUAGAACACCAAUUGCGAAGGCAGCUCACUACGGAUAUAUUGACACUGGGGCACGAAAGCGUGGGGAUCAAACAGG